rnacentral:rRNA from 1 species
UACGGAGGGUGCAAGCGUUAUCCGGAUUCACUGGGUUUAAAGGGUGCGUAGGUGGGCAAGUAAGUCAGUGGUGAAAUCUCCGGGCUUAACCCGGAAACUGCCAUUGAUACUAUUUGUCUUGAAUACUGUGGAGGUCAGCGGAAUAUGUCAUGUAGCGGUGAAAUGCUUAGAUAUGACAUAGAACACCAAUUGCGAAGGCAGCUUACUACACAAAUAUUGACGCUGAGGCACGAAAGCGUGGGGAUCAAACAGG